rnacentral:rRNA from 1 species
GAUGAACGCUAGCGGCAGGCUUAACACAUGCAAGUCGAGGGGCAGCAUAAACAUUGCUUGCAAUGUUUGAUGGCGACCGGCGCACGGGUGCGUAACGCGUAUGUAACCUACCUCAAACAGGGGCAUAACACUGAGAAAUUGGUACUAAUUCCCCAUAAUACUUUGGAAGGCAUCUUUUGAAGUUGAAAGUUCCGGCGGUUUGAGAUGGACAUGCGUUGUAUUAGCUGGUUGGUGAGGUAACGGCUCACCAAGGCGACGAUACAUAGGGGGACUGAGAGGUUAACCCCCCACAUUGGUACUGAGACACGGACCAAACUCCUACGGGAGCAGCAGUGAGG